GAUGAACGCUGGCGGCGUGCCUAAUACAUGCAAGUCGAGCGAACAGAUGAGGAGCUUGCUCCUCUGACGUUAGCGGCGGACGGGUGAGUAACACGUGGAUAACCUACCUAUAAGACUGGGAUAACUUCGGGAAACCGGAGCUAAUACCGGAUAAUAUAUUGAACCGCAUGGUUCAUUAGUGAAAGACGGUUUUGCUGUCACUUAUAGAUGGAUCCGCGCCGCAUUAGCUAGUUGGUAAGGUAACGGCUUACCAAGGCAACGAUGCGUAGCCGACCUGAGGGGGUGAUCGGCCACACUGGAACUGAGACACGGUCCAGACUCCUACGGGAGGCAGCAGUAGGGAAUCUUCCGCAAUGGGCGAAAGCCUGACGGAGCAACGCCGCGUGAGUGAUGAAGGUCUUCGGAUCGUAAAACUCUGUUAUUAGGGAAGAACAAAUGUGUAAGUAACUAUGCACGUCUUGACGGUACCUAAUCAGAAAGCCACGGCUAACUACGUG
rnacentral:rRNA from 1 species